rnacentral:siRNA from 1 species
UUUGCUGAUCACAGGCUGCCUU